UUUUUUUUUUUUUUUUUGUCUUUCUUGAUAUCUUUAGGUUUCCCUAGGAACUCCCCCUUUAAUAGAAUCUGCAUCAUGUAGUUCUCUCAGCUGUAAUCCGUUAGUUUAUUAGAGCUCUGCUGAUGUGGUGGGAAGCUACUGGAGGUGGAGGAGAAGUGUUCUAUAUUCUUAAGAUUAAAUCUUGGGUUUUUCAGUGGGCUUGAGCCCCUGUCUGUGAUCUUCAGAAGAGUUUUUUAGUGUUUUUUCAAUCCCCUUUCACGAGAAAGAAAGGAUAUAGGGGACUAAGUUGCAUAACUGCCCUUUCCAUAAGUCAGACAAGGCUCUGAGUUUCCUUUGAGGGCUGGUCUUCCUUACUGAGAAUAGAACACUGGGAGCAUUUCAAAAUGGUUACUUUCCCUCUCCACCUCUCAGAAGCACAGGGGGACUUUUCUCAGAUCUUCAACUUGAAAAGGCAAUGGGACACCUGGAGAUAAAAGUCAUGAAAGUAUGGGGACCUCCUUAGACAAGUUUUUAACUCUCAAGCUAGUCCACAUUCUGUCUUCAGCAACUAGUAAGUUAUCAUUUAAGUGAUCCUGCCAGUUGCAGGAACUUGUGCUCUGGCAAGCUGUGAUACUCUCUAUUCACCUGUCUCUCUGGUUUUCAGAGUGGUGAUUUGUCUGUGCCCUCAAUUCUGUGAUAUUAUGAAAGUUUAUUGAUUUUCAGUUUUUUAAGUUUUUUCUUUGUUGUGAGAAGGGAAGCAACAACUUCUAAGCUCUUUACAUGUCGGAGCAGAGACUGGAAGUCUCAAAAGGUACAGACUUAUUUUUCUAUUUUUCUCUCCCCCCACAGUUGUUAAUAAUCUGAACUAAAGAAUGGAAUGUGCUGGAAGAGGUAAAAGGAAAACUUAAAGGUUUACUUUAGUGUUUGAAAAGCAGUACUUAUUAGACCAUAUUACAUGCCAUCCCCUCAUUUAUCUUUAUCAGUCUACCCUAUCAAUUUCUCAACUCCCUAAUGUCAGGAGCCUUGUUUGCCUUGGCCAUCCUGUAUUCUUGAUGCAUAUAACAGUAUAGAGCACACAGUAAGCAUGAAAUACAUAUUUGUGAGACUAAUGAGCUAGGAGAUCAGGUGCUUUUCUUGACUCUGAUCUCCAUUAUCGUAAGGCAAGAAAGGGACCAAAUUCAGUCCUUGUUUUCUGUGUUUUAAUGGUCAUCACCAAUUGAGAAGGAAAACAAUUUUAAAUCAAAGAGCUUUAAAGCAUAUGUAAAUUACUAUUAAAUACCUGGUAACAACAAUUUCUUCAUAGCAACAGAAAAUUGACUCAUCCUCUCAAUAAUCUUGGAAAUGAAAAAAUUUUUUUUAACUUCAUUCAUGGACAUGUUCCAUUUUCUUAUGCUGUUUAUGUUUACUUAUUGUAUCCAAGAAAUUGAAGUAGUAAAUUCAUUAGGUGUCUUUUAAACAAAAACAGGCAGUAUGGUCAAAGGCAUAAUUUAAUAUUUUAGAACAUUUGGCACAUUGAUGACAACAAUUAAGAUAGAUAUGCUGUGAUCUAGUUUCAUGCAAUGCAACUCAAAUGCUUUUACUAUGAGAUAACUUUUGUGGCUGUAUACUUUUUGUCUUCCAUAUUAGGAUGUCAAAUUAUAGCAUUUAAUUAAACUAUAUUCCAAUAUACAAGCCAAUACUGGCAAUAUACAAGCCAAUAUGUUAAGAUAAAAAGAGCCCACUGAAAACUUUUUAUAGCUACGGAUGAAUUUUUAAGAGGUUUAGUACUAGCUACACAGUUUACAAGUAACAUUCACAAAAGAAGAUAACAAAGAACUUAACAGAAAGAAGCUAAUGACAAAAAAAGUUCUCUUAUACUUGGAUAAGAUAAAGUGAUCUUAUAACUAAAUGAGGAACUUGAACUUCAUCCUGAAAGUAAAGGGGAGUCACUGAAGAAUUUGAGUCAGGAAAGUAGCCAGAUUAGAUGUAUUUUUAUAAAGAUUAUUUUAAUCCCCUUCAUCAUACUGUUUUAAACUUAUUUAUUGUGUUUUCCCAACUAGAAUGUUAAGUCCAAAGGCUAUAGAUCAUAUCUGACUUAUUCCCUGCUAUAUCCCCCAAUACCUAUAUAAAGUCGGGUGCAGCAGGCAAACAAACAAAAUGGCUGAAUGAAUUAAUGUAAAGAACCAGUUAAGAAGCUAAUGCUUUUUUCGGGGGGAAGGUCUGGAUAAUAAAAACAACACCACCAACAACAAAUAACUAGGAUCCUAAACCAUCAUACUAAGUGAAGUGCCAGACAAAGACAAAUAUCAUAUGUGUCACACUAAUAUGUGUAAUCCAAUAACAAAUGAUACAAAGGAACUUAUUCACAAAAGAGAGACUUCGGAGUUCCUGCCAUAGUGCAGUGGGUUAAGAAACUGACUGCAACAGCUUAGGUUGCUCUGGAGGCACGGAUUGAUUCAAUCCCCAGCCCAGUGUAGUGGGUUAAAAGAUCUGGUAUAGGUCACAGCUGCAGCUCAGAUUCAGUCACUGGCCUGAGAACUUCCACAUGCUGUAGGUGCAGCCAGAAGAAAAACAAACAGAAAAACUGCAACAGACUCAAAAACUUCCAAACCAAUCUUAUGGUUACUGAAGGGGAAACAUGGGGAGGGAUGGAUUGGGAGGUUGAAAUUGGCGUAGACACACUGCUAUACACAAAAUCGAUCAGUAAUAUGGACAUACAGUAUAGCUCAGGGAACUCUAUUUAAUACUUUGUGAUAGCCUAUAUGGGGAAAGAAUCGGAAAAAGAAUGGAUAAAUAUGUAUGUGUUUGGCUGAUUCACUUUGCUGUACACCUGAAACUAAUACAACACUGUAAGUCAUUUAUACUCCGACAAAACUUAUUUUAAAAAAAACGAUCCUAAACCAAUGAAUUGUUAGUGGGAACACAAAUAGUCUCAAACCAGGAUGAAAAAAAUUAAAAAGUGAGAUUUGAAAACUGGUAACCAGGAGUUCCUGUAGUGGCGCAGCAGAAAUGAAUUCAACUAGGAACCAUGAGGAUGUGGGUUCGAUCCCUGGCCUCACUCAGUGGUUUAAGGAUCCGGCAUUGCCUUGAGUCGUGGUGUAGGUCGCAGACAAGGCUUAGAUCGGAUGUUUCUGUGGCUGUGGUGUAGGUCAGCAGCUGGAGUUCUGAUUGGACUCCUAGCCGAGGAACCUACAUAUGCUGCGGGUGCAGCCCUAAAAAGCAAAAACCAAAAAAACAAAAAAAACCCUGGUAACCAAAAGAAUAUGGGCAAUGAGGAAAAGUAAAAAGUGAAAAAUCACGUGUGGGAUUUCAAAAUUUGAUACAAGGCCAUAACAAUAAAGACAGUGGUAAUGGCAUAAAGAUAGACAUAUAGAUCAAUAGAAUAGACUUAAGAGCCCAGAAAUACACACUGACAUUUAUGGUCAAUUGAUUUUUAAUGAGGGUGCCAAGUUUAUUCAGUGAGGAAAGAAUAGUAUAAAUGGUACGGGACAAACUGAGUAGCUAUGCACUAAAGAAUGAAGCUGGACCCUUACUUCACACCAUAUAUAAAUAAAAAUUAACUCAUUGGAUCACAGAACUAAACUAUAAAUUCUUAGAAGAAAAUAUAGGCGUAAAUCUUUGUAACCUUGGGUUAAGCAAUGGUUCUUAGAUAUGACAUGAGCAACGAAAGAAAAAAUAAGUAAAUCGUUAUGUCAUCAAAAUAAAAAUUUUUGUGCUUUAAAGGAUACCAUCAAGAACAUGAAAAACCUGGAGUUCCUGUCAUGGCUCAGUGGAAACAAAUCUAUUAUUCAUGAGGAUGCAGGUUCGAUCCCCGGCCUCGCUCAGUGGGUUGAGGAUCCGGCGUUGCCAUGAGCUGUGGUGUAGGUUGCAGAUGUGCUCAGAUCUGGCAUUGUUAUAGCUGUGGCUGUGGCUGGCAUCUGCAGCUCUGAUUUGACCCCUAGCCUGGGAACUUCAAGAUGCCAUGGGUGCAGCCCUAAAAAGACAAAAGAGAAAAGAAAAUAAAGGAAAGGAAAGGAAAGGAAAGGGAAACAAAGUGAAAAACCAGAAAAAAGAGAAUAUUUGAAAAUCAUAUAGCUGAUAAGACUUUGUAUCUCUAUAUAAAGAACUCUUACAAUUCAACAACGAAAAGACAAAUAAUACAAUUUUAAAACGGGCAAAGGAUUCAAAUAGAUAUUUCUCCAAAGAAGAUAAUCAAGUGGCUAACAAACACAUGAAAAGAGGCUCAAUGCCAUUAGGGAAAUGCUAAUCACAGCCACAAUGACACACCACUUCUCAUCCAUUAGGAUGGCUAAAAUUAAAAAAGAGAUGACAGUAAGGUUUGAUGAGGAUAGAGAGAAAGUGGAACCCUCAUUCAUUGAUGGUGGAAUUAUAAAAUUAUAUAGCCACUUUGGAAAACAGUUUUAAAAACUUAAAUCAAGUCAUCAUACAACCCAGUGAUUCCACUCAUAGGUAUAUUCAAGAGAAAUGAAAGCAUACAUCUAUACAAAGACUAACAUGCAUAUGUACAGAAAGUAUUAUUCAUAACAGUCCAAAAAGUAGAAACAAAAGUAGAAACUCAAAUAUCCAUCAGCUGCUUGAUGGAUAAACAAAAUGUGGUAUAACUAUACAAAAGAAUAAAAAUAAAUGAAAUAUUAAAACAUACUACAUGGAAUUCCCAUUGUGGCUCAGCAAGUUAAGGACCCUACAUAGUCUCCAUGAGGAUGAACAUUCAAUCCCUGGCCUCACCCAGGAGGUUAAGGAUCUGGCAUUGCCACAAACUGCAGCAUAGGUCACAGAUGCGGUGUGGAUCUGGUGUUGCCCUAGCUGUGGCAUAGGCCAGCAGCUGCAGCUCUGAUUCAACCCCUAGCCUGGGAACUUCCAUAUGCCACAGGUGCAGCUGUAAAAAUAAAUAAAUAAACAAACGCUACAAAAUAGAUGAACCUUGAAAACAUUAUGUAAACUGAAAGAAGUCAAACACAAAAGGACAAAUAUUCUAUAAUUCCAUUUACACGAAAUGUCUAGAAUAGGCAUAUCCAUAAAGAUGAAAACUAGAUUAAUGGUUACCUAGGGCUGGUGGUGAAGGGUUAGGAGAGAAAUGAUCACUUAUGGGUACAGUUCUAUUUGAAGGUGCUGAAAAUGUUCUAAAAAUUAGCGGUGAUGACUGCACAACUCUGAGUAGACAAAAACCCACUGAACUAUAUACUCUUUAAAAGGGUGAAUGUAUGGUAUGUAAAUUACGGUAAUGUUAUGGUAUGUAUCUCAAUAAAGCUAUAUUAACACAUACAUGAACAUAUUUGUGGGCUUUUGAAUAGAUCAUUCUCCUCCCUGGUGCUUUCCAACUGACUGAUGCAAAAUGCUCAAACAAUUUCCAAAAAUAAAAAAUAUCAGAGUUCCCGUCGUGGUGCAGUGGUUAACGAAUCCGACUAGGAACCAUGAGGUUGCAGGUUCAAUCCCUC
rnacentral:lncRNA from 1 species